UUUUUACUUUCUUAUGCUCUAUACUCUAUUUGCUCCCUAUCCGGUGGAGUUGGAAGGGGCACGAGGUACUACCACUAGCCUCCCUCUUGUGCCGUCCCUAAUAUACCCUACACCGAAUAGUUGGAUCAAAUAGUGCCGGGUACUACCACUAGCCUCUCCAUUGGCACCAUCCCUAUGAUGAGCAAUAUAGAAAGGUUAAAAUGUUUACUUCAAACUCUCCCUGUUUAAGUGUAAUUAAUUAUGGAUUUUAUCCCUUCCAAAAGAAUGCUCACACAAGUCUCACAAAUGUGCCGAAUAUAUUAUGCUUGUUUUGCUUUUCCUUAAGAUUGAAGUAUUUGCCUUUACUUAGAUUUUACUUCUCUUGAAUAAUAUCCAUUUUUUUUCUUUAUCUCUCUCUCUUUUUGUUAUUCUCAAGUAAUUUACAUGAGCAGAAUAAAGAAAUAAUCUUAUGUAUCAUAUAGAUGUAUAUCAUGCAA
rnacentral:lncRNA from 1 species